GAUGAACGCUGGCGGCGUGCCUAAUACAUGCAAGUCGAGCGAACAGACGUGGAGCUUGCUCCUCUGACGUUAGCGGCGGACGGGUGAGUAACACGUGGAUAACCUAACUAUAAGACUGGUAUAACUUCUGGAAACCGGAGCUAAUACCGGAUAAUAUAAUGAACCGCAUGGUUCAAUAGUGAAAGACGGUUUUGCUGUUAAUUAAAGAUGGUACCAAGGCGCAUUAGAUAGUUGGGUAGGUAACGGCUUACCAAGGCACCGAUGCGUAGCCAACCUGAGAGGAUGAUCAGCCACUCUGGAGCUAGGACGCGGUCCAAACUCCGACGGGAGGCAGCGGUAGGAAAUCUUCCGCAAUCAGCGGAAGCCUAACGGAGCAAAGCCGCGUAAGUGAGGAGGGUCUACGGAGCGUAGAAGUCUGUGAUUAACGAAGAGCAAAUGUGUAAUUAAGGAUGCGCGUCUAUACGGGUCCUAGGCAGAUAGGCACGGGUAACUUCGGG
rnacentral:rRNA from 1 species